CCGAAUGGGGAAACCCAGUGUGACUCGUCACACUAUCAUUAACUGAAUCCAUAGGUUAAUGAGGCGAACCGGGGGAACUGAAACAUCUAAGUACCCCGAGGAAAAGAAAUCAACCGAGAUUCCCCCAGUAGCGGCGAGCGAACGGGGAGGAGCCCAGAGCCUGAAUCAGCAUGUGUGUUAGUGGAAGCGUCUGGAAAGGCGCGCGAUACAGGGUGACAGCCCCGUACACAAAAGCGCAUGUGCUGUGAGCUCGAUGAGUAGGGCGGGACACGUGGUAUCCUGUCUGAAUAUGGGGGGACCAUCCUCCAAGGCUAAAUACUCCUGACUGACCGAUAGUGAACCAGUACCGUGAGGGAAAGGCGAAAAGAACCCCGGCGAGGGGAGUGAAAAAGAACCUGAAACCGUGUACGUACAAGCAGUGGGAGCCCCACCACCAAAGCAUUCUCUGGUGUUGAAGGCCCUGCAAAGCAGCAUCGCGGUGGCGGAGCGUCGUUUGCGACGCCCAACACACAAAACAAGCGGUGAGUGCUUUGGGGUGGGGUGACUGCGUACCUUUUGUAUAAUGGGUCAGCGACUUAUAUUCUGUAGCAAGGUUAACCG
rnacentral:rRNA from 1 species